UGUCGGGUUGUCGCUGCGUAAUACAUACUAUUAUUGUUUUUGCUGUUGGCUAUUUUUGUUGUCAAUCGCGACGGUACUAGCUGACGGUUGAAACGUGGCGCUCGUUUUAUCUCAGAACUUUCUCCCGCAUACAAUCUUGAACCAUUUGCUGAGGUUGUGUCCCGUUCACGGCACGACCAUGCUGACGAAGUACUUUAACCUGAUGAAGAGCAGUCAGGUGUCCAAUACGGAGAAGUUUAUGGACCUUGGCUAGAACCACAUCUCCGCGCCUUGAGGGAGAUAUCCACUCGUGACCACCGGAACCGUUCGAUUCUGCGCACCACAGCAAGGAUUCGCUGACUGGCUGCCGGUGCACUAUGGCCUGCUGCGGAUGUCCUGCCAGAAUUGUAGACUCCUAUCGUGUCACCUGGCCACCCACCUGAACCUGCAAUGCGCCUUCAAAAACAUCACACCUGAUCCGACGCAGUACACUCUGGCCAUCAAGAAGCAGUAUGGGUCCACUUCGUCUGGCAACCGCGAACCAAUAAUGAGACGCGUUGGACAAUAGACAACACUGAGAUGACGAAGCUCAAUCUUCCGGCGACGGCUAAUUGCAGGGAUCUCUUGCUAAGGAACGACAAGAACUUGAAGGCCAUUGUAAUCUUGGACGAAAUCACGCCAUAACGCGGUGAGUAAGAAACGCGGCUAGCAGACCCAGCAAUUCCGGAAGUCUUCCGAGCAGAUCUCGUACGACGCAUUCUCUAGCAGCUCCGGAAGUUGCUUAUUGUAUUGUCUGUGAAAAUGAAAUUUUAAAAUCAAACCUAUUUCGUUUGUCGUCAAUCUAAACAUUAGGCAAAACAAAGUAACAAACAGUGCAUCCUGCUCACGUAAAUUGAUACUACCAUGCAUAAAGUUUUUCCA